CAAGGGCGAACGCCAUUUCUUGCUCUUGCUGCGCGCUAAACUGAACUGCAGUUACUGCGUUCCGUGUACUUGCCGUGCAGCGACUGUACGGAAAACGAACACAACUUUCUUUCUUGGGACAGGCAGUGACAAAGUGGCCGCACCUGUCUCCAAUCAGCCUCAUCACCACCGGUGUAUAAGCCUGCCUGUUCUAGGAAAUCCUCGCCAAAGUAUUGCAGUUUCUUCCAGCGCGUUUUCCCCCGUGUUCCUGAUCCACGUCAUUCCUGCCACCAAGCCAGCUCCCUGUCCACGCUACCGCCUGCCAACGGACCCAGGACCACCGCCAUAAC